rnacentral:rRNA from 1 species
CCAGACUCCUACGGGAGGCAGCAGUGGGGAAUAUUGGGCAAUGGGCGCAAGCCUGACCCAGCAACGCCGCGUGAAGGAAGAAGGCUUUCGGGUUGUAAACUUCUUUUAAGAGGGACGAAACAAAUGACGGUACCUCUUGAAUAAGCCACGGCUAACUACGUGCCAGCAGCCGCGGUAAUACGUAGGUGGCAAGCGUUAUCCGGAUUUAUUGGGUGUAAAGGGCGUGUAGGCGGGAAAGCAAGUCAGAUGUGAAAACUAUGGGCUCAACCCAUAGCCUGCAUUUGAAACUGUUUUUCUUGAGUGCUGGAGAGGCAAUCGGAAUUCCGUGUGUAGCGGUGAAAUGCGUAGAUAUCAGGAGGAACACCGGCGGCGAAGGCGGCCUGCUGGACCGUGACUGACGUUGAGGCUCGAGAGCGUGGGGAGCAAACAGGAUUAGAUACCCGGGUAGC